rnacentral:rRNA from 1 species
GGUCUCCUGGAAACGGGUGGUAAUGCCGGAUGUUCCACAUGAUCGCAUGUGAUUGUGGGAAAGAUUCUAUCGGCGUGGGAUGGGGUCGCGUCCUAUCAGCUUGUUGGUGAGGUAACGGCUCACCAAGGCUUCGACGGGUAGCCGGCCUGAGAGGGCGACCGGCCACAUUGGGACUGAGAUACGGCCCAGACUCCUACGGGAGGCAGCAGUGGGGAAUAUUGCACAAUGGGCGCAAGCCUGAUGCAGCGACGCCGCGUGAGGGAUGGAGGCCUUCGGGUUGUAAACCUCUUUUGUUUGGGAGCAAGCCUUCGGGUGAGUGUACCUUUCGAAUAAGCGCCGGCUAACUACGUGCCAGCAGCCGCGGUAAUACGUAGGGCGCAAGCGUUAUCCGGAUUUAUUGGGCGUAAAGGGCUCGUAGGCGGCUCGUCGCGUCCGGUGUGAAAGUCCAUCGCUUAACGGUGGAUCUGCGCCGGGUACGGGCGGGCUGGAGUGCGGUAGGGGAGACUGGAAUUCCCGGUGUAACGGUGGAAUGUGUAGAUAUCGGGAAGAACACCACC